rnacentral:lncRNA from 7 species
AGAAGGCAUUUAUAGAAAGAGCUUUGAGGAAAAUGUGAUUGUGUUCCUUUUAUUUCUCUCUAUUUUAGCCUUAUUAAAAGGAGAAACUAUGCAUCUGAAAAGAAAAACGUGAAGAGGAGACCCCGAUGCCAUUACUUUGGAGCGCUGAGAGGGUACAAGAAGACGAUGUUAAAGUAGAAUUUCUGUGAAGCUGCUUACAAUUGAAGGAAAACCUCUUUCUCCUGACCUCCUGUGAUUUGAACACGGUGUACAUCGCCUGAGUCUCACUGUUUCAGACAGGGUGAUUGGCCCUCCAGUAAAGGUGAUUCCACAAUCUGCAAGGCCAUGCUCUUCUCUCCAGUAUGAGAUGACAUACAGAAGAAAAGAAUCCUAGAGUCAUAGAAUCAUAGAAUCAUCAAGGUUGGAAAAGACCUCUAGAGUCAUCCAGUCCAACUGUCCACCUGUCAGCAGUAUUUCCCACUAAUCCAUGUCCCUCAGUACAUCAUCUAAAUGUUUCUUGAGUACCUCUGGGGACAGUGACUCUACCACCUCCGUGGACAGCCCAUUCCAGUGCCUGACCACUCUCUCAGAGAAGAAGUAGUUAAAGUAGAAGAAGUUGGACUUUAAUGUGUAGACGAUACCUCCCACAAUUACCUCAAAAAUUUGUUUUCACCUUCCUUGUUGUAUAAGAGGAGUCACUGCAUUUCAGGACAGAGAACCUGAAGAAGAAGGAAAAGUGCCGUGUGAGCCUGGAAGAAACUGCAGAGGGAAAAACUCCACAUUGUGUCUCAGCAUCUCUUGUAGGAUCUGUGGUAAUGAAUUGCUCUUUCAUAAAUAGUGAUGUAAAAUUUAAAUAAUGCUAUAUUAAUACAUCAAGGAAUGUUACAAUUAACUUUCUCUGGUGUUAUCCAAAAUAGCAGGUAGUUACAACUUUUUUUAAGCGAAUUUCCAUAUAUUGUUGUUUUCCCCCAGUAAUAGAAUGAAAUGUAAUAAGGGCUGCAGAAGCUUUUACAAAUACUAGAAAGUCCACUGGAAUGAGAUGGCCUAGUGCUUGCACAAAGUAAUGCAAUUAACUUAUGUAUUCUUGAGAACAGAGGGUGGUAAGUUAUUAAACAGAAGAGGAAAACUUAGAAAGCUGUGAGAGGGUAUCCCUCAUGAGCAGCAGGUACACAAGAAAACAGUCAUUCUUUAUAUUUUCCAUAUUUUUUUGAGUUUGUUGUGUUGUUUUGUUUAGUUUUCUUACAAUGAAGUAUCUGAAUUUCUGCUCCCUAUUGUUAUUUACAAGACUGAAUCACACAUGGGUUAACAACUGAAUGUAUCUGCCAUCUUCAAAUCUCCCUUUAUUGGCUCAUUGACACUAGUGAAAUUGAAAACACAUCCAGCAAUGUACAGUGAAACUUUGCUUUUACAGUUUCAAGCGAGUGGCAUGAUUUCCUCUCAUACUGGUUUCAGUAUUAGGCUUAUGUCCUAAGUCCAUGACAGAUACUAUUCAAUAUAUCACAUUUGUGAUUUUCCUCCCUUUCCAUAUAACAGGGACAAAAAGACAUGUAAAGAGCCAUCAGAAUAAUUCCUUCCGCUAAGUUUUAGCAGUCACUGACUGGAAAGGUAUUUGUUCAAUUUCCUUCAACAAUUUUCUUGUAACUUUCAAGAAAAUUGCAUCAUUAUCCACAGAGUAGGUGGUAUAAUUUUGCUUAUGAUCCACAUUUGCUCUUUUGCUUAAUAAAUGGAUCUAAGUCUCAUUUGAUCAGACAAAGUCAAUCCUGCUUUAACAGUGGAAUCACUAAUGGCUCCAUUCUUUCUCAUAAAUCUUUUUAUUUCUCUUCUGUUUCCUUUAGCUGCUUUCUUACUGCUUUCAACUUUGGGGUUUUCUGAAGUUUCCCAUCAAUUUUUCAGUUUUCUUUCUUCAUCCUUUCUUUCUCAAUAAAGAUCUUCUGAUGCUGAUAUGUGAUAAAGUAUACUUCGUCUAGGGAGUAUGUUACCUUCCUAAAACAACUGUAAUAUCCCAUCACACCCUAGCAGAAGCAAGUUUUCUUGGCUGUUCGAAGAGGUAUGUCCUUUUCUGCAGUGUUCCACAAAGCUGCAUGCAAGUAUACAUAUACACUGAUGCUGGCAGAAGAAAGCAAGCCCUAAUGUUAGUCAUUUCCCAGUAACAACCACUAUUAGGUAAUUAAUUGUAUUCAGCAUAGGUAUGCCUUAUAUAAUAAUAACUAUCUUCUUAUCCCUGCAUAUACAUUUGCUAUAAUUUUUUUGUACUUAAAAUAAAAUGGGAAUUUUUAUGAUAUAUAUGUAAAUCAAGAUUUAAUUUAUGUUACUGGCUGGUUAGAUGAAUGAUUUACCAGGUGUAUCUGCAGGCAUGGAAGGGAUGCAGAAAGUGUGCUUUUGCACAAAAUUGUUUCUAGGUUGAUGUGUUUAUUGCAGGUAGGGACCUGUUCUCAAGAACAGCAAUAUGGUAAUUCUUCUAUUGUUGGUGUUCUUGGGGUGAAAUCUUGAAAAGGGAAAUUGCGACAAAUUUAACAAAAGGAUGAUGUUUUGUCAUGCAAAUUUUAGAAGCACUGUAAAAGACUUGAAGUAGUUUAUGAUGAACAAAGAUCUAAUAAAUAUUUACCUAAUU